GUCAGUCCAAGUGUCAGCCUACUUUCGGUUUGAGGGAAGCUUCAUAAUGCAAUGUUCAGAAUACUGAAGAAUAUCAGAUAUUGUGGAGGAUUUGGAGGAUAUUACACGUCAUUAAUCAAUUUUGAAUGAACAAAAACACUUGGAAAUUGGUCUCCAUGAUGGUGGUGUAUCCGGAGCUGAUCCCAGACAUGAGGCAGGAAUGCAACCUGAAUGGGACACCAGUCCAUCGCAGGGCACCAUGUUCACGGGGAACCUGGAGCCUAUCCCAGGAAGCAUCGGGUACAAGGUGGGGUACACCCUGGACAGGAUGCCAGUC
ensembl:lncRNA